UACGAAGGGUGCUAGCGUUGUUCGGAAUUACUGGGCGUAAAGCGUAGGUAGGCGGUUUUUCAAGUCAGAGGUGAAAGCCUGGAGCUUAACUCCAGAAUUGCCUUUGAAACUGAAAGGCUAGAGAAUGUUAGAGGCAAGUGGAAUUCCUAGUGUAGGAGUGAAAUCCGUAGAUAUUAGGAGGAACAUCAAUGGCGAAGGCAGCUUGCUGGGACAUUACUGACGCUGAGCUACGAAAGCGUGGGGAGCAAACAGG
rnacentral:rRNA from 1 species